rnacentral:rRNA from 1 species
AACGUAGGUGGCAAGCGUUAUCCGGAUUUACUGGGCGUAAAGCGUGUGCAGGCGGGUGGGAAAGUGGGGUAUGAAAUCGCCAGGCUAAACCUGGCGGGGUUAUGCCAGACUGUCCGUCUGGAGUGCGAGAGAGGGGCGUGGAAUUCCGGGUGUAGUGGUGAAAUGCGUAGAGAUCCGGAGGAACCCCAGAGGCGAAGGCGGCGCCCUGGCUCGCAACUGACGCUCAGACACGACAGCAUGGGGAGCGAACGGG